GAGUGAGCAUGACAUCACCCUGAGUAACAACCACAGAGGGGAUGUUCCUGUGGGAGACAAGACACUGGGUGAUCCGAGGUGAAACAGGUCUGUCAUUUACCCAGAGUGAAGGUGCACCAGUCUGGAUGGCCGGCCCCCCGUUUUGCACAAGCUGCCAUUUGAAACACAGUCUGAUUCAAUGUACAGAAACAAAACAGCACAUUCAGAUUUGCAUGUGACCAGAAUGCUGCCAGCUAAUUUUAACCCCACUGAAGAACUGCUGGAAAAAAACAAAACGCAACAAAAAAAAAACCUAUCUUGCAUCUGGAGAGAGAACUGCUGUGGGCUGGAUAAAAGCUUUUUCAGCCUGCAUUCCUUCCUGUUUCAGUUUCCAAACUUGUAUUAUCGGUAACCUGAAAAAUGAUGUUUCACCAAAUUCCUGGAUAUUGCACAAGAGGACAAUGAGUCUAUUUCGGGUGCUAUGAGUGUGUCUGGCACAGACCCUGGGAGCCAUUGUUUUCAGGAGGGAGAAUGCUUUGGGGUUUCCUGGUGCUUUCCUUCUAGGGUCUCAAAGCCCCCAAAGCAUCAGGAAUUAAUGGAGGACGUCAUGGAGUCCCUCACCUUGGAUACUGGCUUCUCAAAGCAUUCCUGUGGCGGUUAAUUGUUGCUUCUGGCUGGGUGGCUGGUGAUGCUGGUGACAAGGUGCAGAAUCUCAAGAGCCAGGAAAUUUAGAGGCUUGGAUCAGAUAGUGUGUAGCUAGGCAGCUGCUGCCAGCUGUGCUAAAACCAGGUAGUGAGGUGGGCUGUCAUUAACCUGAGGGUCUACAAGGCAGUCCCAGCAGAUCAGCUCAUGGCGAAGAGACUGAGGGGAAAGGCCCCAGUUCAUGCUGCAGCCCUCCCGGCAACCAGGAGGGCUUGGUGGCAGUUGUUCUGACAGCUGCUGAGGGCUUCAGCUGCCGAAAAAGCCAUUUGCUCAGGCCUACCCUGUCUGGCCAACUUCUACGUAUUUAAAGGCUCCUCCUUGGUCUCUGAGGCCCCCCCUCUCCACCUGAGUCCUCAGGCAAAGACGCGUCUUUGGAAGCACCGGCAACCGCCUGGGAGACCUUCGCCCCGUCGUCUGCCUGUCCACUGCUGCUGUAACCUGCCCACAGUCAUCAAGAUCAGUUAGCAAAUUCCCAAAUUAAGAUUCUGUUGACUUUGUUGUUCCAAAGGCUUGUUUUCAGCAGGAUGUUGUGCUUUAAUUAAAAAUAUGAGAGCUCAUGAGUAAGUAAAACUAUUUCUGAAUCUUCGCAAGGAUGUCUGAAUUGCGUUUCUUGCAUCUCACCGCAGGGGUUCAGCUCUCUAAGACCACUGAAAACUUUCUCUGUCCUCAACAGCUGGCUCUUCCCCAUUGCAGAAUUGAAAGGGGAGCCCUGAGUCAAGAAUCUGCUCCUUGUGCUUCUCCGCUUGCAGAUUUU
rnacentral:lncRNA from 1 species